rnacentral:rRNA from 1 species
UACAGAGACUGCAAGCGUUAUUCGGAUUCACUGGGCGUAAAGGGUGCGCAGGCGGUCGUGUGUGUCAGAUGUGAAAUCCCGGAGCUUAACUCCGGAACUGCGUCUGAAACUACACGACUAGAGCAUUGGAGAGGGAAGUGGAAUUCAUGGUGUAGCAGUGAAAUGCGUAGAUAUCAUGAGGAACACCAGAGGCGAAGGCGACUUCCUGGACAAUUGCUGACGCUCAGGCACGAAAGCAUGGGGAGCAAACAGG